rnacentral:rRNA from 1 species
UACGUAGGGGGCUAGCGUUGUCCGGAAUCAUUGGGCGUAAAGCGCGUGUAGGCGGUCCGGUAAGUCCGCUGUGAAAGUCGGGGGCUCAACCCUCGGAUGCCGGUGGAUACUGUCGGGCUUGAGUACGGAAGAGGCGAGUGGAAUUCCUGGUGUAGCGGUGAAAUGCGCAGAUAUCAGGAGGAACAUCGGUGGCGAAGGCGGCAUCCUGGACCGAUAUUGACGCUGAGGCGCGAAAGCGUGGGGAGCGAACAGG